AUAUUAUUAUUAUUAUUAUUAUUAUUGCCAUUUAUAUAGCGCCAACAGAUUCCGUAGCGCUUUACAAUAUUAUGUGAGGGGAUUUAACUAUAAAUAGGACAAUUACAAAUAAACUUACAGGAACAAUAGGUUGAAGAGGACCCUGCUCAAUCGAGCUUACAUUCUAUAGGAGGUGGGGUGUAAAAUACAGUAGGACAGGAAUUUGCAAUCAAAUAAGGUGGACUGCCCUUUAGGAGAGGGCAAGAGACAGGUAUGUGAGGUAGGGGUUAGUCUUGGAGGCCAUAAGCUUUCCUAAAGAGAUGGGUUUUAAGGCACUUCUUAAAAGAUGCAAGACUAGGGGAGAGUCUGAUGGCAGGAGGCAGGCUAUUCCAUAGGAAGGGAGCUGCCCGCGAGAAGUCCUGCAAACGCGAGUUGGCCGUACGGGUGCGGACAACGGACAGGAGGUGGUCACGGGAAGAGCGGAGAGACCGAGAAGGGACAUACCUAUGGAUCUGUGAG
rnacentral:lncRNA from 1 species